rnacentral:rRNA from 1 species
CAAUAGCGUAUAUUAAAGUUGUUGCGGUUAAAGAGCUCGUAGUUGGAUUUCUGCUGAGAACGACCGGUCCGCCCUUUGGGUGUGUAUCUGGCUCUUUCUUGGCAUCUUCUUGGUGAACGUUGCUGCACUUGACUGUGUGGAGCGCUACCCAGGACUUUUACUUUGAGGAAAUUAGAGUGUUUCAAGCAGGCAUACGCCUUGAAUACAUUAGCAUGGAAUAAUAAGAUAGGACCUCGGUUCUAUUUUGUUGGUUUCUAGAGCUGAGGUAAUGAUUAAUAGGGAUAGUUGGGGGCAUUCGUAUUUAACUGUCAGAGGUGAAAUUCUUGGAUUUGUUAAAGACGGACUACUGCGAANGNAUUUGCNAAGGAUGUUUNCAUUG